rnacentral:misc_RNA from 1 species
GCAAACUCUUUCUUUUUGUCCCUGCAGAAAAUACAAUAUGUGAAUGAUACAACAUAAACAAAAGUAGAGGGCAGUUGCAUUGGCAGAAAGCAUGGUUACACAAACUUAGGAUAACCAUAACGUCCACAAAACACAUCUUUAACUAUGGGGCAUAUGGAUUUUCCCUUUCUUUUCUACUUUUUCUAAAUGAAGGAUUUCAUCUUAGCCAUUUUUUUAAGACUAGAUUGUCACACUCAUAAAAUAAGUGCUUACCUGUUUGUUUUGUGUAUCUGUAAGUAUAUUACCUGAAAUAGCCCCCGA